GCGCUGGCUUGGACAGCACAUACACUAAAACUGGAAGGAUACAGAGAUUAGAAUGGCCCCUGUACAAGGAUGACUUGCAAAUUUGUGAAGCGUUCCAUAUUUAA
ensembl:snRNA U6 U6 spliceosomal RNA